AAAUUGAAGAGUUUGAUCAUGGCUCAGAUUGAACGCUGGCGGCAGGCCUAACACAUGCAAGUCGAACGGUAACAGGAAGCAGCUUGCUGCUUCGCUGACGAGUGGCGGACGGGUGAGUAAUGUCUGGGAAACUGCCUGAUGGAGGGGGAUAACUACUGGAAACGGUGGCUAAUACCGCAUAACGUCGCAAGACCAAAGAGGGGGACCUUCGGGCCUCUUGCCAUCAGAUGUGCCCAGAUGGGAUUAGCUAGUUGGUGAGGUAACGGCUCACCAAGGCGACGAUCCCUAGCUGGUCUGAGAGGAUGACCAGCCACACUGGAACUGAGACACGGUCCAGACUCCUACGGGAGGCAGCAGUGGGGAAUAUUGCACAAUGGGCGCAAGCCUGAUGCAGCCAUGCCGCGUGUAUGAAGAAGGCCUUAGGGUUGUAAAGUACUUUCAGCGGGGAGGAAGGUGUUGUGGUUAAUAACCGCAGCAAUUGACGUUACCCGCAGAAGAAGCACCGGCUAACUCCGUGCCAGCAGCCGCGGUAAUACGGAGGGUGCAAGCGUUAAUCGGAAUUACUGGGCGUAAAGCGCACGCAGGCGGUCUGUCAAGUCGGAUGUGAAAUCCCCGGGCUCAACCUGGGAACUGCAUUCGAAACUGGCAGGCUUGAGUCUUGUAGAGGGGGGUAGAAUUCCAGGUGUAGCGGUGAAAUGCGUAGAGAUCUGGAGGAAUACCGGUGGCGAAGGCGGCCCCCUGGACAAAGACUGACGCUCAGGUGCGAAAGCGUGGGGAGCAAACAGGAUUAGAUACCCUGGUAGUCCACGCCGUAAACGAUGUCUACUUGGAGGUUGUGCCCUUGAGGCGUGGCUUCCGGAGCUAACGCGUUAAGUAGACCGCCUGGGGAGUACGGCCGCAAGGUUAAAACUCAAAUGAAUUGACGGGGGCCCGCACAAGCGGUGGAGCAUGUGGUUUAAUUCGAUGCAACGCGAAGAACCUUACCUGGUCUUGACAUCCACAGAACUUUCCAGAGAUGGAUUGGUGCCUUCGGGAACUGUGAGACAGGUGCUGCAUGGCUGUCGUCAGCUCGUGUUGUGAAAUGUUGGGUUAAGUCCCGCAACGAGCGCAACCCUUAUCCUUUGUUGCCAGCGGUCCGGCCGGGAACUCAAAGGAGACUGCCAGUGAUAAACUGGAGGAAGGUGGGGAUGACGUCAAGUCAUCAUGGCCCUUACGACCAGGGCUACACACGUGCUACAAUGGCGCAUACAAAGAGAAGCGACCUCGCGAGAGCAAGCGGACCUCAUAAAGUGCGUCGUAGUCCGGAUUGGAGUCUGCAACUCGACUCCAUGAAGUCGGAAUCGCUAGUAAUCGUGGAUCAGAAUGCCACGGUGAAUACGUUCCCGGGCCUUGUACACACCGCCCGUCACACCAUGGGAGUGGGUUGCAAAAGAAGUAGGUAGCUUAACCUUCGGGAGGGCGCUUACCACUUUGUGAUUCAUGACUGGGGUGAAGUCGUAACAAGGUAACCGUAGGGGAACCUGCGGUUGGAUCACCUCCUUA
rnacentral:rRNA from 1 species